ACGAGACAGUGAAUACGAUGAAAUACACAGAAUACAACGAGAUACAUUGAAAUACAAUAAAAAAAAAAGACAAUGAAUACAAUGAAAUACAUGGAAAUACAACGAGAUACAUUGAAAUAUAUUAACAGAAAAUUGAAGUUGCUCAGCCCCAAACUCCGUCGUCUUCGUUGAAGAACAACCCUAAUGUCAUCUCGUCGAGAGAGCCGCGAUUCUGACUCGAAAUGCCACAGAAUCUGGGAAACUUCCAAGUUCUUUCCUAGGCUAUUACGAGGAAAACACCAAGUUCGUGCCAGCACACUAAAUCAUGUCAAGGAUAUGACUACAGACAUAUUCGUGUUUAUCGCCUAUGAUUUAAUUUCAUUUCACAUAACUGGAAAAACUCCACCAUUACUGUCAAUUCAUCUUUUUGGCUAACUGGGAGUUGUGAAAGUA
rnacentral:lncRNA from 1 species